AGCUGAGCCAUGGGAAGGACCUG
rnacentral:piRNA from 1 species